rnacentral:tRNA from 1 species
GCGCCCGUAGCUCAACUGGAUAGAGCAACUCCCUUCUAAGGAGUAGGUUACAGGUUCGAGUCCUGUCGGGCGUACAA